AUUGAACGCUGGCGGCAGGCUUAACACAUGCAAGUCGAGCGGAGCGAGGGUGCUUGCACCUUAGCUUAGCGGCGGACGGGUGAGUAAUGCUUAGGAAUCUGCCUAUUAGUGGGGGACAACAUUCCGAAAGGAAUGCUAAUACCGCAUACGCCCUACGGGGGAAAGCAGGGGAUCUUCGGACCUUGCGCUAAUAGAUGAGCCUAAGUCGGAUUAGCUAGUUGGUGGGGUAAAGGCCUACCAAGGCGACGAUCUGUAGCGGGUCUGAGAGGAUGAUCCGCCAAACUGGGACUGAGACACGGCCCAGACUCCUACGGGAGGCAGCAGUGGGGAAUAUUGGACAAUGGGCGCAAGCCUGAUCCAGCCAUGCCGCGUGUGUGAAGAAGGCCUUCGGGUUGUAAAGCACUUUCAGUAGGGAGGAAGGGUGUUGUGUUAAUAGCACAGCAUUUUGACGUUACCUACAGAAGAAGCACCGGCUAACUCUGUGCCAGCAGCCGCCGUAA
rnacentral:rRNA from 1 species